rnacentral:lncRNA from 1 species
GUGCAUGUGUGUGCACAUGUGUGUGUGCACAUGUCUGUGCACAUGUUGUAUGUGCACAUGUGUGUGUACACAUGUAUGUAUGUGAAGCUCAGAGAGCAAUGUCAACUGUUCUCCCUCAGGUACUGUCCAUAUUUUCGUUUUUAUUCCUCAUUGUGUGUGUGUGUGUUUGCACGUGUGUCAGUGCAUGUGGGAAGGUACCUAUGCACUUGUGUGGAGGCAAUCCAAGGUUGAUGUCUAGAUUCACCUGCAAUAGCUCUUCUACCUUAUUCAAUGAGUCAGGGUAUCUCAAUCAUACCCAGAGUUCACUGAUAUCGCUAAUCUUGCUCUCUGACUUGCUCUAGGAACCCCUUGUCUCUGCCUUUCAGGGUUGGAACUACAGGUGCCUUGUUUUUUUGAGGCAGGUCCCUCAUUGAACCUGGAGCUUGCCAAGCAGGCUGGGCUGGCUGGCCAGCGGGCCCGAAGGAUCCACCCAUCUCUACCUCCCCAAGUCUGGAGUUACAAGUGUGCACUAUAGUACCUGGUUUAUUUCAUGUGUUCUGAGGGUUAAACUCUGGUCCUUGUGCUUGUACUUUGCCCACUGAUCAAUCUCCCUAGACCUUACUGUUAGCAUAUUGAUUAGCAGAAACCAUAAUCACCCUAGGAUUCCCAUCUGUGGUAUAUUGUGUUACUUAUCAGAAAUAUUUACUUUCACUCCCUGCCUCGUUGAUAUCAGACUUGGCUUAUGACUUCCCUUGCUUCUCCCUGCUAUCUUUAAUAUCCUUGUCCUGUCUGUUCCAGGAAAACUUGUUUAAGCCAGCCAAAUAUGUGAUGAACACACAGCAUCAUUAAAGCCAAGUGACCUUUAAAAGGAAGAUGUUGAUCACAAUGGACCCGGGUAUUCGUGGGUGCGAGGGGGACCGCAAACCUGAAGAGAAAUGAGCGAGAAAGAAGAGCGAGACCAAGCAAAGAGUUGUCAAGGUUUCUUCAUCAUUCUGGAUCCCAGAGGAGGGGACAGACACUGGGGUGACUAAAUCCCAUGAAUGACAAACUUUUGUGCUUAUAAAGCACUGAGCCUGGAUGGGAUGUUUGUUACUGUAACACAACCUGACAUUCCUAGCCGAUACACCAACUCCCCAGCAAGGCA